GCUGAACAAAGAAAAAAAAUUGGUUUAAAGUGUGGCGUUGGGAAGGGUAAAUAAUGGUAGGAAGGGAAACUUGAUGACCGGGAAACACAAAGAAUGAAUAAUCAAAAAUUCCAACACUUCACUUUUUUUUCGAUUUCUUUUUACUUCGUACUCCUUUUUUUCGAUUUUUUUUCGAAUUUCCUUUUUUUUCAAUUAUUUUUCAAUUACAAUAUGCUGAAAUACAAAGGAAAAACAUUACAAGUUAAAUUUUUUUAUUUUUUUGAUUUUUUUCACGUUAUGAACCUACUCUGGGAU
rnacentral:lncRNA from 1 species